UACGUAGGGUCCGAGCGUUGUCCGGAAUUAUUGGGCGUAAAGCGCGUGUAGGCGGUCCGGUAAGUCCGCUGUGAAAGUCGGGGGCUCAACCCUCGAAUGCCGGUGGAUACUGUCGGGCUAGAGUGCGGAAGAGGCGAGUGGAAUUCCUGGUGUAGCGGUGAAAUGCGCAGAUAUCAGGAGGAACACCUAUUGCGAAGGCAGCUCGCUGGGACGUAACUGACGCUGAGACGCGAAAGCGUGGGGAGCAAACAGG
rnacentral:rRNA from 1 species